AAGCGCUUCUAUCGAUUGCUUACGCGUUCCAGAAACCAGGAAGUGACUUCUGGUUUACGGGCGCACAUGAGUUGGUUGAACAAAUUCAAAUGAAUCGUCUUGUUUAGUCGUAGCUACUUGUCUUCCGACAAACAGCUAUUCAAAAUGAACAUAUCAGAAAAUGGAGCAGUAGGCGAUGCCAUUACAGUGCACGAUUUCUCAGAGAAGAUUCUGGCGCAAACGGUUCACUUUCACGUCAUGAAACUCAAUGUUUUUUUUCUUCCUUUGGGUCGGCUCGAACCCCGUCUUGUCCAACAUGGCUGUUUCAAUGGAAAGUAAAUUUGAUUCGAUGCCGCUGUCUACCUUAGUCCUGGGGGACCCAUCUGAAACCACCUAGAAUUCACUGGCGCAGAGAUUGACUAAGAGGACUAAGAAACAGGUGUUUGUGAGCUACAAUCUGCGCAGGACCGACUCCAACCCGUCUCUGCUGGUGGAGAAUAGGAUAAAGAAGGAGAUGGAAGUUCACACUGAUACAUUUUUCUCUUUUCCCCCAUUUAUAUUGACUUUAUCCCGAAAUAAUACAAUGGAGAGAACAACAUUA